rnacentral:rRNA from 1 species
GAUGAACGCUGGCGGCGUGCCUAAUACAUGCAAGUCGAGUGAACAGACGAGGAGCUUGCUCCUCUGACGUUAGCGGCGGACGGGUGAGUAACACGUGGAUAACCUACCUAUAAGACUGGGAUAACUUCGGGAAACCGGAGCUAAUACCGGAUAAUAUAUUGAACCGCAUGGUUCAAUAGUGAAAGACGGUUUUGCUGUCACUUAUAGAUGGAUCCGCGCCGCAUUAGCUAGUUGGUAAGGUAACGGCUUACCAAGGCAACGAUGCGUAGCCGACCUGAGAGGGUGAUCGGCCACACUGGAACUGAGACACGGUCCAGACUCCUACGGGAGGCAGCAGUAGGGAAUCUUCCGCAAAGGGCGAAAGCCUGACGGAGCAACGCUGCGUGAGUGAUGAAGGUCUUCGGAUCGUAAAACUCUGUUAUUAGGGAAGAACAAAUGUGUAAGUAACUAUGCACGUCUUGACGGUACCUAAUCAGAAAGCCACGGCUAACUACGUG